AAGAUAAUAUAUAAUGGUGACUUGAUUAAACAAGUAUCCGAGUGCAGAAACAUUAAGAAACGCUGGUGAAGAACACCGCAUAUCACAGAAAACUAGCAAGAUAUAAUAUUAUUAAAAUUCAGAGGGCAGUCCUUUAAAUACAUGCAUUUCCUGUCAUGAUGUAGGACAGGCAGGUGGUGCACGCAUACUCUAUACUGUUCACUGACUGCUUCAGGCUCAGUCAUUUAUUGUUCUUUAGGGGGAGUGAGAAGAGGGUGAUUAUUUUUUCAUUUCAGAAAGGGGUGCGGAUAAAGAGUGGGAUUAGGGAGAGAGAGUGGGAGGAGCUUGGAUGUCGUCCAGAUAUCUUUCUGAUCUCUCUGUGGAUAAGUGUCAGAGCCAGCCACGCAUCAGCUAACAGUCUACUGCAGCAUCCGAGGAGCAGGGCUUGGCGUGUCGACCAUCCACAUGGCCACAGCAAUGGAAUACAGGGAAUCCCACCCAAAUGGUAUGAUCCAUAUCUGAAUCACAUUGUUUUCUUUGGUAAGGUAAGCAUUCAUUGAAAGCUCAAAAUAUCCUGAUUGGGAAGCAUUUACUGAGCCUACUUAAAGAGCCUUGCUUAUUAUUUUCUGUACUGUGCUAUGCCUUUAAAAUAUCUCCAGUACAAGAAACCCACACCAUGUAACACUUUGCCACAGAAACUAGCUGUUAAAACAACCAUUUUGUAUAUCUCUCUUUUCUAUUUUUUAAAUUGUUAUAUACAAUGAGCACAUAAUUGGACAUUCUAAAUUGGGAGAAACAAAAGGGAGUAAAAUAAAAUAUGCAAAGAAAAUAAAAUCGGAAUACUUGACCCCUAACUGUAUCUAUUACUGUGCAGUGAUCAAACCCAUAUCUAUCAAUGACUCAUACUAACGUUACUGCCCUUGAGUCCAGCCCUGCUGUGUAUUGUCAUACUGUGCUACCUGGAAAUAGGGUUACUAGAUUUUCAGAGGGAAAAACUGGGAUGUUUUUAUUUUCUUCAAUUGAUUGACGCCAUAGCAACUCUGAAGCCAUUAAAAUAACUAUACAAUAACACAAUUUAUUUAUUGUAUGUUUCUAAGUAUUCGGUGGCUCCCUCUAAUCAAGUUCUCACGCAGUAGCAACGUGAUUAGAGGGAGCCACCGAACACUUAUUACAAACAUACAAUAAACAAUUCAUUGUUUACUUUCUAUUGUCAUCUGACCAAAAUAAAUACAAUAGCAAAACCGGAUUUUACUGUUUCUGAUCAGGACACAAAAGUUUAGCCUGACAACUGGGGCAAGCCCAGUUUUCCGGGGACUUCUGGUAAUCCUACCUGUAAAGGAUACCGGUAGAUUAAUAACAAACUGCCCCAGUACAAAAGAAAAAAAAAAAACACUGCUUUACUCAUAAUUCAUUUUUAUUACGCAGGUAUUAUGUUUACAGUGGCGACUAGAUUUUUGAAAUUGACUUUUAAAGUUCUUAACAUUUUCUAUUUAACAUUUUCUAUUUUUGAAACAAAAAAAAAAAAAAGAAAACAGUUGUCACCGUUGUUGAGUCACCAUUUAAAGAAUCCAAAAACAGUGUUUGACAAUUUCAUGAAUAUCACUUCAUCUUUUUCAUAGAAACUGAAAAAGGAGUAUUUUUUACAUUUCUUAACAACAGCAUAAAAAAGUUUAAGGAGCUCUGUUUAGUUUAUCAAAAACAGUAUUGAAAUAUCUCAUGAGUUUUAGGCCUCUGGAUAAAUUUGACCCUGGAUAAAUACAGGCUUUUGUCCUUUAACUCCUGAAGGUAGUGUACCAUUGAAAUGUGUCUCGGCACUCAUUAGAUAAAUAAAUCAGGAGAGAUUUUGUUCCACUUUCUGCUGCUCUGUUUUACUUUGUGCCUCUCCAGCUUUGUAAUGGAUCACCCAGUGCAGGAACACACCAAGGCUAUUCUUCUUCCUGCAUCUGAGAGUGAACUUUACUGAAUUUGUCACUGUCGAGCUGCACUGAGGAGUGAGCGACGCCUAGCGGAAGUGAAAAGCCACAGUGUCCAGUUACACACCAAUGGAGGGAGCUGUCAUUCCCCUGUGGCCUAAAGAAGGAGCCUGCCGUGGUGCGCACUGGCUCUGGGUCGACACUGGUUGGCGGGGAGAAGGACCAGCAAGAAUUUUGGUCUCAUAAACCUCCAACCAAAUUCAAAUGAUAAGUUAAAAUUCAUUAUAUGAACACAAAAAACUUCACGUGACAAAUGGACCUUGACGGAUGUAGUUGUCAGACAUGCUGGAUCAUUGUGCGUUACGAAGUUAAUUAAAAAGCACGCUGACAAGCGGAUGAAAGAUGUCUGCCCUUUAUCACUUUACCAUCACCCUGCUGCUGCUGUUUAAUAGCUGUGGAAAAUAUGAAUGAUAGCCUGAAUCCUGUAAUGAUGUUUUCCCAAAUACUAACGAUGUGCGCUGAAAGUCUGCGUCAGCUAAAGCAACAGUAUUAUCACACUUGGUUCUUUAAACUACUGAAUCAUAUAGCAGCUUUUGUUCUCCAUGUCUUGACUAUGAGGACAGCUAUAUUAUAUCAAGACAAAAUCAAUAAAUUAUGUUUCACUGGAGAACCAAAUAGGCAGUCUGUGAAAGUGCCAGCGCUGUAAGGCUUUCUUGUUCUGGUAAUGAUCACAGUAAAUCUGUUUUUAAAUGUACUGUAGAUUCAAGAAACUCAAUAGGAAAAUGAUUUUUUUUUUGUGUGUAGAAGAAACAGGCUUACAAAAAAUGUAUGUCUUAUCCAUGGAGGGCAUGCUUAAAUAGGAGAUGAAAUGCAGGUUCUUUGCCCCACAAAACCUAUAUUAAAUUUACAUUUCAAAGCACAAUGAAACAAGCAGAGGAUCAACACAAUAUUUUCUAUAAAGGGUACAUUGGCAACCAUCAAGCGUCUUAAAUAUUUCAAAAGGCCUUACAUUUUAUACAUUAGGGACUCAACAGGGUGCUCUAUGUUAGCAUGCCAUUUGCUAUGGAAACAGUUGAACAGGACUUUGAAAGGAGGUAUUGGGAAACCUUAUUAUUUUAUUUAAACAGGAAUUUGUUUGUUGCUUGCACUUUUAUUUAAAUUCACUGCACAGUUUUUUUAAACUUAUUUUUACAAUCUUUGCAUGUUUCAUAUUAAAUGCUACACGGUAAUUGAAAUGAAUUAAGUAAGACUAACUACUAACUGCUGCUACUAAUGCUAAUACUAACAAUGCAAACUAACACAUCUAACCUUUUUGUGUGUCUUCUUGGUAUCUUAACUGUACUAACUUUCAGCCUCAAAUAAGGCUAUUUGACUUAUAACUGUGUUAAGAUUUUGAUGGAUAUCCGAAUAUUCUUUCAUUAAUUGUACAAUGCAACAUAUUGAAAUAUUAAAACAUGGUAGCCUAUCGAAUGAUCUAACUCCGCUCAGUAGAAUGUCUUUUGGAGAUUUCAGACGUCAUGGUAUACAGAUUAAAACCCAAUUUUUGCCAAUAUUUUCACCAAAGGCAACAGGAAUAUUCGACUAUUUAUCCCAGCACGUACAAUGCACCCGUUCCUACUAAUAAAAUGGUCACUUCUUUCCUGUCCUUCUCUUUUCAAUUUUAACCCAGUUCUGCUUUUUCUUUUAAGCCUUGGUCUUGAUCAUGCAUGAAGAGCUCCACUCCUCCGACAGGAUGGGGUGCAAUAACUAACAUUUGUGAAUAACCUGGUUACUAACAACUACUAACUGCAAUUAACAGAAAAUCUAUAAAGUAAGUACGUUUUUAUUUUCCUGUACGAACUUUUAAAUCCAGCCUACUCAGUUAUUAUAACUAACCAUGUCUGUCUGUCUGCCUGUCUGUCCAUGUCUGUCGUACCGAUUUACUGUUUGUCUGUGUAGCUAUAUAUGUAGUCAUAUACAUCUAUUUAUAGUUUACUACUGUACAGAAUGUGUGUGUUGGGUAUAGUGUCUGUUCCCAACCUAAUAAACUAACAAAACCUAACAUUGUACUAACCUUUUUUUAUACAGUAUUACUUGAUUUGUAAUAUAUUGGAUAUAUAUUUUUUCACCUUUUAUGGGAGUGUAACCACUUCUCAAACCUGCUGAAGAAAUGUAUAUAUAUAUAUAUAUAUAUAUAUAUAUAUAUAUAUAUAUAUAUAUAUAUAUAUAUAUAUAUACAUACACACACACACACACAUGCUAGGUAAUAUCUACAUUUUUAAUAAACAUAUAAUAAUAUUCAAAUGCUGUAUAAAAUAUAUUUUAAGAUUCUUUGCUCUUCAAAAUUUUAUUUUUAGAUUUUGGAAAUGCGUCAUAUAAACUUGAUUGAAAUUAUAUAAAAACACACCAGGAUAGUUCCAAAUAAAAAAAUAAAAUAAAAAAAAAAAUUACGAAUUUCCGAGCUUAUUAUUCUUAUUAGAAAACUGUAUACAAUGUAUCAGUCAGAAAGUGACAAAAGCAAUUUCAAAUAUCUAUUAAAAUUGACACUUUUAAACACACAAUUGCUGUAACAGCCUCUGAACUUGGACCUAUAAUAAAAACACAGCUGUCUUAAGUCUUCAAAUAAAAACACAAAUUAUACUAUUAUAAUACUGUGAAAAAAACAGAGUGUAAGAUUACCAGCAAUGUCAUAACAAAGGAUCUGUAACACAUGUUGCACAUGGCUCUCAAUACUGUAACACACAGGAAUGCUACUGGAAGUGAAUAAUGUGAUACCAUUCUACCAAUGGAAUCCAAUAGUUCAUAUACUAUAUAACGGGACAUGUUUGACUCCCCGUUAACAGUGUCACUUUCUGACAGCAUUACUUGUAUCAGUACCACUCAAUUAAGGAUCAAAUUGAUCAUGAAGCAAUGCAGGAUUUGGGAAAGUGGUCACAAGACUAAUGGAAAGAUCCCCUGUCCUGCUGAACCCAGCUGUUAGUUCUGAAUGAUAGUGCUUGGUCUGCUGCUUGUAUUUGUAUCCCACUUUGAGAACAGUGUGCAUUUGGUGAUUUCAAACUAACAUAGAAAACUAAUGCUGGUACUAACAGAUGCUGUUACAAAUACUAACUUCGCUGGGAGAAUCAACUGCUAAUGUUACUGCUGCUAAAUGGUUUGAUGCUUUUACUAACCGCUGUAUGCAUUAGUAACUAACAUUAGAGCUCUAUUCCUUGUCUUACAAUAAUAGUGUAUGCUUCUGAUGUAUAUUGUACUAACACUGUUACUAAAUGUUGCAAAUAUACUAACCACUCUUACUAACAAAAUAAUAAAACAGUACUAACACAUUACAGUAGAAACUUAUACUAACUGUACUAACUGCAAAAUUACUAACGUUUCCAAUUACUAUCAAUUAAAUUAUUUUCUGUGAACUUUUUAAAAUAUGCUACGAGUGUUUUUUCUUGCUAACACUUCUGCUACAGAAACACUGACUGGCAUGAAUGUGUGGUGGUGGUGCUGGUACUAACCAAGGGAAUUGAAGCAUGUUUUUGUAUGACUGACGUGUGACUAACACUGUGCAUCUGUUUCUAUCUGGAUGGUACGGGUGGGCUAGCUUUUGAACGUUCAGAUGUAGGAAGAUGUUAAAAACUAGGAAGAGCUCAAAACAGAGGAGGAUAUUGACUGUGAGAAGGGUGACUACAUUGUUGCAUGUCUUUAAAAUAGCAAUCUUUAAUGUACAUUAUAUAUAACCCAAUGGAAUUGCAGGCUUUAUUAACAAAGUCAUGCAGUACAUACGCACACUUGACAAUUGUUCCCUUAUACCUAACUGUCUUAAACCUUUUAUAAGAUCAUAGAUCUGUGGGAGGUUAUUUGUAUAUUUAUAUAUGUAAGGAAAUAAUACCUGGUACUGCUCUUCAGAAAUGUAUUAUAGUAUACCAAGAUUUCUCAUUGUGUACAAUUUUAUUUAAACAAAUACUGUAUGGAACUAGGGCUGGAUAUGACGUCUCUGACAUUUUAUAUAUAAAGUAAAACCUUGAGUCACCUUCAAUAUGAAGGUCCCUUGUAUUCAGUAUUAAGGCCACCAUCUGCAGUCCCAAAUCUAUAAACCCUUUGGGAAAUGAGCUGUCUAAUUAGACCAAUCAUUCUGCAAACUACCAAACUAAAAAAAAAGCUGUUCGAAAGUUUGCAUUAAAUUAAAUUAAAUUAAAUUAAAUUAAAUUAAAUUAAAUUAAAUUAAAUUAAAAUAAAAUAAAAUAAAUAAGCUCAAGAUCGUUCAACUAUUUAAUAAAGUGCUAACCAGUUCAAUAUAUUGGCUAUUCCACAAAUGGGAUUUGAAUUUCUGGCAAUACAUUCUAUGUAUCUUCAGUAGUAAGUCCACAUUUUGUUGGCCCCUUGACUGGCCUUGUAUGAAAAGGCAUUUACUACAGUUAGGAAAUUUGACCUCAAACUGGAAAUAUAAUGUCCCUACUGCCAUCGCGUAGUGUUCUAAUGCAGUCGUCUGCAGCUGAUGAAUUCCCAAAAGAGAGAAAAAAAAAAUCCAGGAUUUCUGAGUUGAAAAGCUAGCUGUUAGAAAACAGACAGCUUAAAGACUGAGCGACUGGAACCCCCAUUGUGCAGAGGCACAUUUAAAAUGGCCUGUGAGUGCUGCUCAAUCUAUAAAGAUGAAAAGCUAAAUGCAUGCUGUCAACUUUAGUUCUAGGAGAAUGCAGCCGUUUCAGAGGACCCUAUCUGUGUGCUUUUCAUCUUACACGUUAUAAAAUGGAUGCCUUACAUCAACAUUUCCUAAUAGUUAAUGUCUUACAUGUUUAAAAUCCUAUUACAGCAGUUCUGUUUGAUUCUACAUUGUUGUUUCAGCUUAGAUCGUUAUUUUCCAUGCUAACUAACUAACAGCAAAAACUGCUUCUGAAAAGACUCCUGUAGGCUUUUUGUGGGGAAGCACUUAAGUCCUGCACAGGCAGUGCACAACGCUUCACCUGUGAACUGGAUCGCCACCUUUAGUCUUGGAGUCUUUUCAGAAGCAUUGUCAAUAAUGAUCUAAGAAGAAACCAAAGAGAAUCACACAGAACACACAGGGAAUACAGAGAUAAGAAAAUAUAUCAGGAAUGUGUAGGUCUAACAAGCAUUCGUUUUAGUUUUCUAAUAUGUCUGUUUCUGUUCUAACUAUGAACUCCAGACUCUAAAACAAUUAUAUUACUAAACCAGAAAAAUAUAACUUUAGCAAAGAGGGCUUUCAGCUUAUGUCAUUAAAACCUUAUUAAAUGUACCAGAAAUAGACAUUCAAAAAUGAUAUUUAAUAUGAACCAAUGUAUGCUUGAGAAUAGUUUUCUCUAGAUCUCUUAAUAGCUUUUGGGGGAUGCUUUGCUAUAGCAACCUACAUAUGUAUGUGUUCUGUCCCCUGCCAUUAAACCAAACCUAGUUAUAAGAAUCGUAUGCUUUCCAAGCAAGAAAGUCUAAAAAUCAGUACCUAUAAACCACCAAAUAAAGAGUUGACAUUUUGUGAAUUAUAUGUAGUUUGCCAGCAUGACAGUUCUAAAAUCACCACCUUUUAAACACUCCCCCUUCUUAAUGUGUGUAUUAACACUAUCCAUGUAUUAAAAUAACAGUGCUUUGUUUAAUGAAAAUGAUACAAUACUGAAGCUGCUGCUAAUAAAUCCUUGACUCAUGUUCACCCCAAUGGGCAUUGAUUUUCCAGGGAAUUCUGGAACUAACUUGACUACUAAUCAAUUAAUAUAUAUGUCUGGUUGUAAUGCAUAUUGAAUAUUACUAACAUAACAAGCUGCUUUGAACCUGCCUGAUAUGAAAUUUCACACGCUUACAGUAUGUGCUGUUAUAACACAUACCUGCUUUGAUCUAACCUGCAGUAGUUAAAGUAAAUAAGGGGACACGGGACUGACAGAAUAAAAAUGCAUCUUCACUGCAAUAUUAAUCCAACUAAUACAUAAGGAUUUUUUACUAACUUAAUGCUGUCUUUAUGGGUAUGAAUACGGCUAAUCCUUUGGUCAGCAAAAGCAAUGCUUUGCCCAGUAGUUCAUUUCAAGACGCUCCCAGUUUCCUCACUGAACAACAGUUCAAUGUCUUACCAUAUGCCAGGCUGAAUAGAUACGACUGCACUCACUGGGUGAUAAGGGGCAACUCUUUUCUUUAUACUUUAUGUUUAUAACUGGUUUCAGUCCAAGGUGCUCCAGUCUGUAAUGUGAAAGACCUAUCCAUACACCUCCAAAUUACAAGGACGGCAACAAAUAAUACGAUUGUAUAGUUCAUUUUAAACCAUCACAGGAACUAGUAUGACCCAGUUCUCCAUCUUCCCAAAGGCUAGUCCAUGGGACACUGUAUUUCUUUGUCAAAUGUUAGUAAAGGCAAUAGUUAUUAUCAGCAUGUAGUAAACAGGAAAGAAGCAGACGAAGGCAUCAGCCGCAAUGUUUGCAUAUCUGACUUCAAUCAAAUAAUUCACGCUGCUUUAUCGCACUAUUCAAUCAAAAUCUUCCAAAUAAAAAAUGUGGUCAAAUUCAAUUAACUUUUAAUAUGAAAGGCAUUUUACAAAGUAUCAUUUUUUUUUUUAAAUAGGAAACUAUGUAGCAAUAAUAUGACCUUCAUAAAGGUGACAUGCAUCGUAUAACUAUGUGCGUAACCCUUUGGGAUCACUUUGAAAACCCACAUAACAUGCAUAUGAAUAUUUAUAACAUGUCUUAAUAUUUAUUACAAACUACAAUGUACUGUAAUUGAGAAUUCAGCCUGUGUAUGAGACCUGUCACCAUUAACACCUUUACUGUUAUUAUUGAGGUCUCUUAAAUAGAAUGAUGUAGCACUGUAGUUGGCAAAAACGUUAUGAUUACUGUAAUGUCAUUUUGGCCUUUGUUAUGAAUGCUGCAUAAUGUCCUAUUCAAUUUAAGCCAGUAUUUCACAUGUAUUGGUCUUACAACUGGUUUUAAUCCUGUACUGAAAUGUUCCGACAUAAAAAUAUGUCAGGAAAAUAUAACCUACAGAACAAUGCAAUGUGUAUGUUUAUAGUUUCUGUUUUUAAUAAUUGUAAUGUGCAGUUCAUGUACAUAUUAAAAAGGUUGGAAUGAGUGUUUUAUAUAAUUCUUUAUUGCUGUUUCUGCUUGUUUACUAACUAAUUCCCCCUUUUAACCACAAGUACUGCUUCUGAAAAGGCUCCUAAAUGCUGGAUUUUCCCAAAUGUUGUUUUUAUCAGACAAUCCGUCUGCUACCUACUGUUUGGUUGCGGGGAAUAGCAGCUAGUGAUUGGCUAGCUGCAGAUUCCUAACCAGCAUGUGGGCGUGUCCCGGCGGAGCGUCUCACGAUAAGUGUCCAGCUAACACACCUCAUGGCUACUGAAAAGCCACAGGACCCAGACUGUCCACGUUACCUGAACAACAAAUCUUAAAAGCCCAAAUCCUCCGAUCACUAUGUGCUUUGUGAAGAGGAAGCCAAAACCGCCGAUCACCGGGGUCAGAGUUUUAAUUAUUCAAAGAAAACGGAAUUAGUUAAGGGAUUUUAAGUCCCACAAGUGUAGUUUUGUUUUGCUCUGUGUUUUCUUUUGCCUUUUUGUUUUCUAUGUCCUCCAUGCGCUACGAUUGCUGGAAGCGUCACAUGUGUUUUUUUAUUUUUCUUGUGUUUACUUGAAAUAAAUCCUGUGUGCCCUA